AAAGACCCCUAUGCGUCUCUCUCUCUCUCUCUCUCUCUCUCUCUCUCUCUCUUUUCCUCCAUUGUUGGCUUAAGCUUUAAGCUUAGAGUGGAAGUCUUUAGAGUGAGAUUUUGCAAAAGUGUUGUAAAUGAAAGUCGGAGAGCUUGUUGUGAUCUUCGUAAUGGUAGUCUCGGAUUCAGAUCGGGCAAGAAUUGCCUCCCAAAUCUACUCUUCUUCAUUAUUUGAGAUCAAAAACCUUGAUUUCUCAAGAUCCAUUUGCGUUUUGCCGUUGCUUCUUCAUCAAAGUGGGUUAUCAUCUCGAGGGCUUCGUUGUGUGUGAUGAAGAUCGAGUUCCGACACCGUUGAUUUUGGAGGUUUCAUCUCAUUUCUUCUUCAAAACUUGAGGAAAAGAUGUGGUGAUGCCGCCUAACUAAGGGCAAGGAAAUGUGUGUUAAGAGUACGAGACUCUCAUUUUGCUGUGACUCUGUGUGUAAGCCAAGGGUUGUAUGUGUGUGGGUUUGAAUAUCCGUUUUGUGUAACCAGACUCAAGCCUUGAAAACUUGCAAACCCUUGGGGAUAUUUAUUUGUUUAUUUACUUGUUGUUGGAUUAAUGUAUUGUUGCAUAAAGAACUAUUGUAUCAUGUAAUGUAAGUUUGGAGAUUUAUAUUCAGUUUUUCUUGAAAGAGCCA